CACCCGGUGAUCUCUGUGUAUCCCCACAGGAAAGAAGAUUAGUCACUUGCAAAGAGCCACUGAAAUUUAUAAAGAUGUGAUAGUUAACCUCAAGUUUCAACUUGAAAAGACCUAGCUAGACCUAGCCAGGGCAUGCCUGUGGGAGACUGUCUUGAUUAGGUUAACUGAGGGACCCUUUGAUGCUUCUAAGGUCUGGGUCAGAGGAGCAAUGUCUCUCCCAGAAGGUGGGAGCUGUGAGAGGAGACUUUGUCACUUGUCACAUACAGGAUUGGCUGAAACUGAGGAGUCAAACCCAGGGUUACACGGAUGAAAGUCCCCGAGCUCAACGUUUAUAUUCAUGGCUAACUUGGCUGGGAGUCCCUGGGGAAGUUACCUACCCCCUCUGAGCCUCCAGUGAUGUCUCAACCAUACUAAGAUAAAUUGAGAAUAAUCUGACCUAUCUUGGUCUUUUUCUUCCUGUGUGUUCUUGGGCAGGUCUGUCACCCUCUCUGGGCCUUGCUUUUCUUAUCUGUAAAACUAAUAUCAGGUGGUUUCUCAGGACCCUCUCCUCUCUGGUGUUUCUUUGAUUUUUUCUGUCGCCCGUUUGCCCAGCUCCGCAGAUGCAGCCUAGGGGAGGGGCUGCACCGACGAGCGGCUUGGCGGCAUUGCAAGGCCUGGCACGUCCACCCUCGUGUUUAAUGACUCUGGCAACUGUCUCUGCCUCCUCGAUUUCCUGAGCAAACAUACUCAUUAUCUGGAGUAAUUUACUGGCACCGGCUUUGGUUGUGUGGAUUGGAAGCUUCCAGAUGGGCCCCCACUUCAGCCCACAUACCCUGAACACGCUCAUGUAGCCAGGUGUUGGGUCAGAACCCUAGCCUGCCCUGGGACUCUGAGCUCUGUUGCCCCUCUGACCUCUCUGUCUGUGGGCCAAGGCUCUGUGAACCCAGUGGUUAGAACAGGGCUUCCAAG
rnacentral:lncRNA from 1 species